rnacentral:rRNA from 1 species
UACGGAGGGAGCUAGCGUUGUUCGGAAUUACUGGGCGUAAAGCGCGCGUAGGCGGCUUUGUAAGUUAGAGGUGAAAGCCCGGGGCUCAACUCCGGAACUGCCUUUAAAACUGCAUCGCUAGAAUCCGGGAGAGGUGAGUGGAAUUCCGAGUGUAGAGGUGAAAUUCGUAGAUAUUCGGAAGAACACCAGUGGCGAAGGCGGCUCACUGGACCGGUAUUGACGCUGAGGUGCGAAAGCGUGGGGAGCAAACGGG